AAGACUACUUUCAGGGAUCAUUUCUAUAGUUCAUUACUAGAGAAGUUUCUCUGAUUAUGUAGAACACCAGAAACCAUGAGGAGGAGUUGCAGCGUCCUCUCCUGAGCGUGAAGGCGGCUCUUGGUGUUGCUUCGCUGCAGCUGCCAUUUGCCAUUGAUGAUCGUUCUUGCUUUUCUUCGAGGGAGCAAGAGGGAGAGGACACAGUCUGACUGGUA
ensembl:snoRNA